CCUGGGUUCCGUGUGAGGUGUAUCGUUCUGGUUGCUGGGUCCAGGGCAGUAACAGUUCUUCUAGUGAUGUGUAUUGGAACCUUUCCUGUGUGACUCUCAUCCAUGUUCUCCCCGCAAGUUUGCCACGGAGUGUCCACUCGAAAUGCAGUUUUUCUUCUGAGGACUGACUUAACUAGAUCCCCAAUAUGUGGG